CUACGGGUCGCAGCAGUGAGGAAUAUUGCACAAUGGGGGGAACCCUGAUGCAGCAACGCCGCGUGGAGGAUGACGCAUUUCGGUGUGUAAACUCCUUUUAUAUGUCAAGAAAAUGACGGUAGCAUAUGAAUAAGCACCGGCUAACUCCGUGCCAGCAGCCGCGGUAAUACGGAGGGUGCAAGCGUUACUCGGAAUCACUGGGCGUAAAGGACGCGUAGGCGGGUUGGAAAGUCAGGUGUGAAAUCCUACAGCUUAACUGUAGAACUGCACUUGAAACUUCUAAUCUAGAGUAUGGGAGGGGGAGAUGGAAUUAGUGGUGUAGGGGUAAAAUCCGUAGAUAUCACUAGGAAUACCUAAAGCGAAGGCGAUCUCCUGGAACAUUACUGACGCUAAGGCAUGAAAGCGUGGGGAGCAAACAGGAUUAGAUACCCUCGUAGUC
rnacentral:rRNA from 1 species